rnacentral:rRNA from 1 species
UAGGCUGCAACUCGCCUACACGAAGCUGGAAUCGCUAGUAAUCGCGGAUCAGCACGCCGCGGUGAAUACGUUCCCGGGCCUUGUACACACCGCCCGUCACACCAUGAGAGUUGGGAAUACCCGAAGCCUGUGAGCUAACGAAAGAGGCAGCAGUCGAAGGUAGAAUCAAUGAUUGGGGUGAAGUCGUAACAAGGUAGC